CAAAUAUUGUCUUCUACUUUUUCUACAUAACACUCCCUUUCUCAACUUAUAGCUUGCUGCUAGGCUUGAAACAGGUUCUCAAAUAAAAGUCGCUGGGAAGAUUUAAAUGUCAUCUGAUAGCCUACAGGAAGAAAUAGAUACUUAUGUAGCUUAUUUUGCAUCUACAGUGAAGUAUCAGCUCUUUCCAUUUUAUUUUCCUAUAGGUGCUACAGGUGCCUGCAUUUGUGUUGAGACUUGUCUUUGAAGCAACUUGCCCAUCUCAACAAGAUGCUUGCACUGUCUAUUGGCUUCUCUUUGCACCCUGGCUUCUGGAUUGAUCUUGAGUAUGGAUAUAAAACUCCUUCAGCUUAGCCAAAAUGUUAAGAACAAAGAAGGGACUACCAUAGACACAGUGUUUUUUGCUUCAGUAUGAAAGCAGCAUUAUGGCAGAUGCAGAGUUACAUGCAGUUCCUGGCCCAUGAAGACCUGUACUAGCUCUCUAUAAAUCUGUCCAGUGGCAGUCAAAGAAAUAGGAAUGGAUAUCAGGGUGGAGCCAGAAAAAGACGGAUGCCUAACAUAGCAAUUUAGGUCUCUCCCAGAGGUGGCAUAUUCUCUCCUUAAACUCAGAGGAGCGGGAAUUUAAUCACCAUUGAUUCCAUUUGUAGAUACUAAUUAUGAAGAUAUAUGAGAAAGCUGCAUGUUUAUUAAACCAGUGAAGAGAUUCUCAGGUUCAAGUUUUGUUUUCAGCAGACUUAAUGAAGCAAAUCAAGAUUUACCAGUCCCCCGGACACUUCUUUAUUCUUUAGCAAAGGAAUUUGAAUGCAACAGUUACUGAUGAAGAAUGACAGAACAUUUUGGAUGAAGAAAGAUACUCUGAAUGGAAAAGGAGGGAAAAAAAGGAAGACAACAUGGCUGAACUAUUUUGAUACAAUCAUGAGUCAAAAAAAAAAAAAAAGGAGAUACAAUGAUGGGUGCUCAAGAUAAGUGUUUUGGGAGAAGAUUCAUAACUAAUAGAUUUUUUUUUCCUACUGAAAUACUGUGAUCAUGGUAUGUGGUGCUGUUCCUUUACCACACAUGUUUUCAAUAAAAUGACAAGAGCAUUUAUUUGGUAAAUGGAC
rnacentral:lncRNA from 1 species